AUUGAACGCUGGCGGCAGGCUUAACACAUGCAAGUCGAGCGGAGAUGAGGUGCUUGCACCUUAUCUUAGCGGCGGACGGGUGAGUAAUGCUUAGGAAUCUGCCUAUUAGUGGGGGACAACAUUCCGAAAGGAAUGCUAAUACCGCAUACGUCCUACGGGAGAAAGCAGGGGAUCUUCGGACCUUGCGCUAAUAGAUGAGCCUAAGUCAGAUUAGCUAGUUGGUGGGGUAAAGGCCUACCAAGGCGACGAUCUGUAGCGGGUCUGAGAGGAUGAUCCGCCACACUGGGACUGAGACACGGCCCAGACUCCUACGGGAGGCGGCAGUGGGGAAUAUUGGACAAUGGGGGGAACCCUGAUCCAGCCAUGCCGCGUGUGUGAAGAAGGCCUUAUGGUUGUAAAGCACUUUAAGCGAGGAGGAGGCUACUGAGACUAAUACUCUGGGAUAGUGGACGUUACUCGCAGAAUAAGCACCGGCUAACUCUGUGCCAGCCGCCGCAGUAA
rnacentral:rRNA from 1 species